UACGUAGGGUGCAAGCGUUGUCCGGAAUUAUUGGGCGUAAAGAGCUCGUAGGCGGUCUGUCGCGUCUGCUGUGAAAACUCAGGGCUUAACCCUGAGCUUGCAGUGGGUACGGGCAGACUAGAGUGCGGUAGGGGGAGACUGGAAUUCCUGGUGUAGCGGUGAAAUGCGCAGAUAUCAGGGAGGAACACCGGUGGCGAAGGCGGGUCUCUGGGCCGUAACUGACGCUGGAGGAGCGAAAGCAUGGGGGAGCGAACAGG
rnacentral:rRNA from 1 species